UACAGAGGGCCCAAGCGUUGUUCGGAUUCACUGGGCGUAAAGGGUGCGUAGGUGGUGAGGUAAGUCGGAUGUGAAAGCUCGGAGCUCAACUCCGAAAUGGCAUUGGAAACUACCUCGCUAGAGGAUCGGAGGGGAGACUGGAAUUCUCGGUGUAGCAGUGAAAUGCGUAGAUAUCGAGAGGAACACCAGUGGCGAAGGCGAGUCUCUGGACGGUUCCUGACGCUGAGGCACGAAAGCCAGGGGAGCAAACGGG
rnacentral:rRNA from 1 species